rnacentral:rRNA from 1 species
AACGAACGCUGGCGGCAUGCCUAACACAUGCAAGUCGAACGAGACCUUCGGGUCUAGUGGCGCACCGGUGCGUAACGCGUGGGAACCUGCCCUUAGGUUCGGAAUAACUCCCCGAAAGGGGUGCUAAUACCGGUUAAUGUCUUCGGACCAAAGAUUUAGCGCCUGGGGAUGGGCCCGCGUUGGAUUCGCUUGUUGGUGGGGGAAUGGCCUACCAAGGCCUUGAUCGGUAGCUGGUCUGAGAGGAUGAUCGGCCACAUUGGGACUGCGAUACGGCCCAGCCCCCUACGGGAGGGAGCAGUGGGGAAGGGUGCACAAGGGGCGGGAGCCAAAGGCAGCACCGCCGCGUGCGGGAUGACGGCGUUCGGGUUGGAAACCGAUAUCGCCUUUGACGGGGAGGAAAUGACGGUAAUGGGUAAAAAAGCACCGGCUAACUACGUG